GACGAACGCUGCCGGCGUGCUCAACACAUGCAAGAUGAACGGACAGGUCACCACUUCUUUGGUGGAGAUGCUCGGGUGGCGAUCGGGUGCGUAACACGUGGGGGAUGUGCGCUGUCCUUCAUGACUAGCUCUGAAAACUGCGUCUAUUAUCGGACGGUGCCAUGGAUUUGAGUCUCAUGUUGGAAAUGUUAUUGUUUUGAUGCACUCUGAGCGCCCGCCCUAUCAGCUUGUUGGUGAGGUACUGCCCCUCUAAGGAGUCGAUGGAUAGCCAGCCUGAGAGGGUGGACGGCCACAUUGGGACUGAGAUACGGCCCAGACUCCUACGGGAGGCAGCAGUGGGGAAUCUUGCACAAUGGGCGCAAGCCUGAUGCAGCGACGCCGCGUGGGGGAUGACGGCCUUCGGGUUGUAAACUCCUUUCGUUAGGGACGAAGCCGCACCUUUUUUGGGUGUGGUGACGGUACCUUUGUUAAGAAGCACCGGCUAACUACGUG
rnacentral:rRNA from 1 species